rnacentral:rRNA from 1 species
CCUACGGGAGGCAGCAGUGGGGAAUCUUGCGCAAUGGGCGAAAGCCUGACGCAGCCAUGCCGCGUGUAUGAUGAAGGUCUUAGGAUUGUAAAAUACUUUCACCGGGGAAGAUAAUGACGGUACCCGGAGAAGAAGCCCCGGCUAACUUCGUGCCAGCAGCCGCGGUAAUA